ACUGGAAUAACCCGGGGAAACUCGGGCUAAUACCGGAUACCCCCAACUAAUCGCAUGGUUAGUUGAGGAAAUGCUCCGGCGCUUCGGGAGGGUCUCGCGGCCUAUCAGCUAGUUGGUGAGGUAACGGCUCACCGAGGCAACGACGGGUAGCUGGUCUGAGAGGACGAUCAGCCACACUGGGACUGAGACACGGCCCAGACUCCUACGGGAGGCAGCAGCAGGGAAUCUUGCGCAAUGGGCGAAAGCCUGACGCAGCCACGCCGCGUGAGGGAUGAAGGCUCUAGGGUCGUAAACCUCUUUCAGCAGGGACGAAAAUGACGGUACCUGCAGAAGAAGCUCCGGCCAACUACGUGCCAGCAGCCGCGGUAACACGUAGGGAGCGAGCGUUGUCCGGAUUUAUUGGGCGUAAAGAGCUCGUAGGCUGUUCAGUAAGUCAGGUGUGAAAACUCGAGGCUCAACCUCGAGACGCCACCUGAAACUGCUGUGACUAGAGUCCGGUAGGGGAGUGUGGAAUUCCUGGUGUAGCGGUGAAAUGCGCAGAUAUCAGGAGGAACACCAGCAGCGAAGGCGGCACUCUGGGCCGGUACUGACGCUCAGGAGCGAAAGCAUGGGGAGCGAACAGGAUUAGAUACCCUGGUAGUCCAUGCCGUAAACGUUGGGCACUAGGUGUAGGAUUUAACUAACAAAUUCCGUGCCGUAGCUAACGCAUUAA
rnacentral:rRNA from 1 species